rnacentral:misc_RNA from 1 species
CCGAGUUAUACAACUCAUCAACCCUGUGAACAUACCUAAAACGUUGCUUCGGCGGGAACAGACGGCCCUGUAACAACGGGCCGCCCCCGCCAGAGGACCCCUAACUCUGUUUUUAUAAUGUUUUUCUGAGUAAACAAGCAAAUAAAUUAAAACUUUCAACAACGGAUCUCUUGGCUCUGGCAUCGAUGAAGAACGCAGCGAAAUGCGAUAAGUAAUGUGAAUUGCAGAAUUCAGUGAAUCAUCGAAUCUUUGAACGCACAUUGCGCCCGCCAGUAUUCUGGCGGGCAUGCCUGUUCGAGCGUCAUUACACCCUCAGGCCCCCGGGCCUGGCGUUGGGGAUCGGCGGAAGCCCCCUGUGGGCACACGCCGUCCCUCAAAUACAGUGGCGGUCCCGCCGCAGCUUCCAUUGCGUAGUAGCUAACACCUCGCAACUGGAGAGCGGCGCGGCCAUGCCGUAAAACACCCAACUUCUGAAUGUUGACCUCGAAUCAGGUAGGAAUACCCGCUGAACUUAAGCAUAUCAAUAAGCGGAGGA